CCUUCAGAUCCGCUGCCGAAGCCGCGCCACGCGGCCUCCGGCGUGGGUACCGCUGCCGCAGCUCCCGGCACGCAGCGUAAGCCUCCCGCCUCCCCAACUCUCGCCGCCAUGGAGUGCUUCAUCUUCCUGCUCGGCGCUCGGGUCCUUGUGGCCGCGGAUGCUCCUCCUGCUCGCGACGGGCCGCAUCUGGUGGCUCGACCUCCUUCCGUGCCCCUGCUCGAGGAUCUCCGGCCAGCAGUGACGAUUGAUUCCUGACGCCCAACUUCCCGAACCCAUCAUCAAUUCGUUAGGUUCCAUAUCGAUCCAGCUCAAUCCAGUGGCUGCGCCGUUUAGAAGAUGGCUCUGUAAAUUUCAUAGAAGGAGACCUCAUCAGGUUGAAUUAAAGAUACCCUUGAAUUAAAGAUACCAUUGUAUCUGUGAUUGUAGCUCCGGUUGCUACUUUCAAAACAAGGCCGUGGAAGAUUUCUAAUUCAAGUGAAAAGCGUGAAAGUGAAAGCUCUCAUGUUUGAUUCCAGGCCUAACUUUGAUAGUGUCUUUCGGAUCGAGUCCAGUAGAUGAUUUUGAUACUGUAUAUAGGUUUGUAGCAAAAUAUAUACUGAAAGUGCACUUUGUAACUUGAGAUUGGGAUAUUGAAUUUUGUAUGUCACUGUUGAUAUUGAAAGUGUACUUUGUGAUUUGAGAUUGGGCUAA